UUUUCACUACUCUCUCUAUUAUUUCCUAGUUAAUAUUGACUUCCACCUCUUUUUACCACUAGCUAAUUAAUUAUCUCUUUGCUCCUUAUAUUGCUUUUACCAGGGUUCUAUAGUUAUCAAGGAAGUUUGUUUCUUCUUAUCUGCUCUAGGCCUUCUUUUCUUCACUGUUUUUUUUUUUUCUUGCUGUUCGAGUUCCUGCGGAAGUUUCAGCCUGUCGAAGGGUUCAAAGCAGGUAAUUUUCAAUUCAGUUUUUUAUUCUUUUUUUUUUUAAAUUUCUGCUCAUAACCUAGGGAAAAAAUUACUUGCUUGAUCCGGUUUCAAGCUUAUCAUGACAUGCCUUAUUUGCUUUGUUUGGGUUUUGUUGUUCUUUUACUAAGAAGUUGACUUCACAGUGAUUGUAUUAUAAUCUUGUUAAAAACAUUGUUAAGGUGACUUUAUGGUCUUAUUUGGAACAAGGAGCAUUUCACUUAUAAUUUUUUUUUGCUAUAAUACUACAAUAUAAUCUUAAUUUUUGAAACUUAAGAUUAAAUAGAUUAUGAACUCUUUUUUUUAUUUUUCAAAGGAUACGAAAAUGAUUUCGAAGUUUUCUUAUUUUUACUUUACAAAUCACAUUUGGUUUAAUUCAUAUGUAGUCUAUCAUUAAACAUGAUUAUCUUGUAAAUUAUUUUUUAAAAGUAAUUACAGUAGCAACUACUCAUUAAUCAUCCCGUGCAUAAUACGGAUUUAAAACUAGUACGAUAAUUAAGAUUCAAAAUUAGAAAUCCUUUUUCCGUUAUGGAGUUCCUCAUAUCCUUAAAAAUAUUGUAUAAUGUAAAAAUAAAUAAAAAAACAAUUAUUACAUAAAAGGAAGAAUAGUCAUCGAAAUUAAAGGAAUUGAUGCUAAAAAGGCACAUUAAUUAGUUGUAGAAUCAAUUAAUUUGUCUAUAAGUUUCUAAACUAUAACAAUAACUUUACUUCCUUCACCCCGUAAUUUUGGUCCAUUUUUCUUUUUUUUUUUAAUUUCUCAAAAUUAUGUUUUUCUUAACAUUUAUUUUUUUAUAUUUUAAAAUUAUUUUUUAUGAUUUUUUGUUUAUCUUUUACCAUUAAAAAUCAUAAUGAAUGAUACAUCAAUCUUUAAAAAAAUUAAUUGUAAUGUAAUAAAAUAUAUUAAAAUCAAAUUAUUUUAACAUUAACUUUGUUUAUGUGGCAUUUUGACUGGUUAAGAAUAUAAUUGAUGAUUACGUGAAUUAAAUAAAAUGCUCACACUAUCAUUUAUUUUAAUCCACGUCAAAUUUUAAAAUUUUAAUUUAUUUUUUAAAAAAUAUUAAUUAUUAAUUUGUUAAUAAUUAAACCAAAAAUAAAAAAUAAUUUUGCAAACAAAAAAAAAAUAAAAAUCUCGAUAUCGAAAAUCACCAGCACUUCCAAACACAUACUCUAUUUGGUUUGAAAAAAAAUUUUUAUUUUGAUUUUUCUAAAAAACAGUUUUUGUUUUCCAUCUAAAAAAUAUAUUUAAUAAAGAAAGUAAAAUUUAUUUUCUAAAAAUAAAAAACAAAAAAAUAAUUAUGAAAAUAAUUAUUAUUAAUGAUAUCUAAUUAUAAAAUAUAAUAUAUAUUUAUUAAUUAAUAACUUCAAAAAAUAUAUACAAACAUAAUGAGUUGUUUUCAUAAUUAAAAACUUUUUUUUUAAAUAUUUGACUCUACUUUCAUUUUUAUUUUUUAAAAAUUUAUUUUUAUUUUUAUUAUCAAACAAGUUUUCACUAUUAAUUUUUGUUUUUCAAAAAAAUAAAAAUAAAAAAUGACAUUAUUUCCGCUAAUCAAAUCUUAGAGGUGUCAAAUGAAUUAAACAAUCAAGACACGAUUUGACGAUACAGAUCAUAAUUGGUAUGAUUUUUUGGUAAUUAAUAAGAUAUUAUCAAGCACAAAACAUAUAUGUGUACCGUACUGAGCUAAAAUUUUAGUCCAAUAGAUCGGCACUCCACAAGGUCAGUGUCAGCAUAAGGCGUGUGGACUAGCCUUUGAGUAUAUUUAUUUUAUUUUUUACGUUGCAAUGAAAUUAUACUUACUUUUAAUAUUUUAUUAGUAAUUAAUAAACUAAAAUUAUAUUAAAAUUACUUAUUAAAUAUUUAAGUUAUUGAUAGAUAAAUUAUAUUUAAUUAGUGAUUAGAAAAAAUAAAACGACAAAAAUAAAUAAAAAGUUUAGGUUAAGUAGAAAUUCAAUUCACAAAAUAAAUUGCUAUAAAAUGAAAGGUAUAAAAUAAAUGCACAAAACAUCACAUUAUAUAAGUGAAUUAUUAGAUGUUAGAAUGAAAAAUAAAAUAAUAAUUUUGUGCUUUAUAAUAUCACUUUAUAUAUGUGUUUAUGUUUUUUGAAAUGUUAAAAUUGUAAUUCCAAUAUUUUGAUUUAAUGACUUUUAUUAUCCUAUUCCAUAGAUAUAGGUAUUUUAUUGAACCACGUAAAUUAUGUCAUUUUAUUUUAUUUUUAUUUAUUUUCGUAUGUUAUUUGUAAUAAUAGAUGAAUUUUUUAUUAAAUAAUUAAAAUUUUAAAAAAUUAUUAAUGAGUUGUACUUAACUUAUUUUGAUACGAAAAAAAGUAUCGUACUUUGCAUGACGUAACUUAUGAAAAUUACAAGUUAUGAGUGACGGUAAGUUUUAUUUUUAAUUUUUAUGAACCGUGUUAGCAUGACACAUUAAAAAUAAUGUUUGAUUGAGACAAUCCAUUAACAUAUAAAUUAAUAUUUAAAUAAUUUAUGCCAAUCAAGCAUUAACCAUUUUUUUUUUGUAAGAUAAAUUUAAAGAUAGAUAGAUUAUUCAAUUCUUAAUUCAAGAUAAGGUUGUGUCGUACCUGACAGUUUAAGACAGAUGAUUGUAAGUUGUGCAUUCAAGAUGACAUCAACAAAUGACCAUCGACAUUACUCUGAAUCUAGAAUCUUUUCGUUGAGGAGAACGACUUUAACUGAUUAAACUAAUCACUUGUUAGUAACCUAUAACUAUACCAACCAUUUGAUAGCUGUACCAAACCCUUCCUAACGUUCUCGAAUGCUUCAAACUCGUCUAAUCAGGAGGAACUCAACAUCAUCAAAACCUUCAUGAUAUUGACCAAGGGAUAGCAUCACCUGUUUCAUUCCAAAAACCAAAUCCCCCAGGAAAAACAAUUCUUAACCACAUAGUUUUCUGCAUUUUCUGCAUUGCAGCCUCAUCUCGUUUAUGGAAUCGCAGAAAAAAAAAAACAUCAAACUCUGGUGGAAGAUAUGAGAUGGUUCAUUAUGGAAGAUAAUGAUACGUUUUUUAUGCCUGAAAUUUUGGUUAGGGUCUUAUCUAACUAUAAUUAUAGUAAGUUUUAUUACACUGGGAGUUCUCCAGAGAGUCAUUUGCAGAACACAACAUUUUCUUAUGGGAUGGCUUUUGGCGAUGGAGGUUUUGCCAUCAGUUACCCUUUGGCUAAAGCUCUUGCAAAAAUGCAAGACAGGUGCAUACAGAGAUACCCAAGAUUGUACGACUCCGAUGAUCGGAUUCACGCUUGCAUGGACCGGGGUUUCAUCAUGUUUCUGUUUUUUACUUCACUUUCUUUAUAUUCAUCAAUUUGCUGAAACAGUUUUAGGCUCCAUUUUUGAGCAUGAUUGAAACCCGUUUUCAACGCAUCAGAGAAUGAGUUUUAUUUUAAAAAAAGGAGGACAAAGAACUUGAUAAUGGAAAAGUCAGUGUGAAAACACCUAGUAAUUUAACAUGUAAAUUCUAACAAAAUAUUAAGCCACCAAAUUCAACGGGGACUAAGAAAGACGGAGUCUAUCACGAGAUUACUAUUUGCUUUAAUCAAGCUCCAUGGCAUCCACCAUGAAAUUGACAGCAAGAUCAUAAAAUUGACUCAUAAUUUUAGUUCAUUUCACUUGUUUUUGAUGUACGAUGGAUUCAAAUCAAGAUCAAAGAAAGCAAGUAAAAUAGUUGCCCGGCUUGACAAGAUUCCAAAGUAAUUAGAAUUUUCAUGCUAGCUAUUAUUUUAUAAAAUAAUAAGAAUUAGACUGAUGAUUGAACGUGUCAAAUGAACAAAAUAUUGCGACAUUGCAUUAGAGACAGCCAUUGAAGCAAAACAGGGUUGGAUGGCCGAUGGCUUGGCCCUCGUUCCUCCUGACCAGAACAAUGAUCUUUUAUUCAUGAUGGCUAUCUAAAAUGUUAGAAAUAGACAAGAUUUAUGUUUAAGCUUGUUGAUUUAUCGUUAAACAUGUAGAUCCAUCAACUUUGGUAUGUCUUGGCCAUUUUCUUUUGUCUUGCGUGUUUUAAACUUCCCUCCAGACGGUAUCCCAAAUACUACUCUUAGAAAAAUCAGUAUGCAAUACUCAGUAGCUGACUCGCAAUUGCCAACAAUUAUUGCAGACAGUAAGGAAACAGCUAAGUAGAGGUGAAAUUUACUACGAAAGUGCACUUUGCUUUAAUUCUGCCUUGUGCUACCACCACGAAAGUGGCAGCAACACCAUAAUAUUGAUUCAGAAUUUAUAUCAUUUCGCUUGUUUCUUUUCACUUUCCUUGGCACUUCCUAUCUCUUACUUUUUUUACUUUUCUUUUCACUGCUCUUUAUUAUUUCCUAAUUAAUAUAAAUCAAGAUGGUAGCAUAGACUUCCACCUCCUUUUACCACUAGCUGAUUAACUAUUUCUUUGCUCCAUACAUAUCUUCUACCAGGUUUUAUAGUUAGCAAGGAAUUUUGCUUCUUCUUACCUGCUCUAGGCCUUCCUUUCUUCACUGCUUUUUUUCGCUAAUCGAGGUCCUACAGAAGGGUAAGCCUGUCAAGGCGAUCAAAGCAGGUUACUUUCAAUUCAGUUUUUUCCUUUUCUUUUUU
rnacentral:lncRNA from 1 species